rnacentral:rRNA from 1 species
GUGCCAGCCGCCGCGGUAAUACGUAGGGUGCGAGCGUUAAUCGGAAUUACUGGGCGUAAAGCGUGCGCAGGCGGUUCGCUAAGACAGGUGUGAAAUCCCCGGGCUUAACCUGGGAAUGGCGCUUGUGACUGGCGGGCUGGAGUACGGCAGAGGGAGGUGGAAUUCCACGUGUAGCAGUGAAAUGCGUAGAGAUGUGGAGGAACACCGAUGGCGAAGGCAGCCUCCUGGGCCAGUACUGACGCUCAUGCACGAAAGCGUGGGGAGCAAACAGGAUUAGAAACCCCAGUAGUCC